rnacentral:rRNA from 1 species
CAAACUUGGAUUUUGUAAGUAGUUGCGAAUGAACACAAAUUUGAUCACUUUGGCAAUCUGUACACAUUGCUGUGUAACAAUUUGUAUACGUUGGCACAGUGCUAUCAAAGCUGCAUGCAAGUGUUUUUUGAAAGGAUACAACAUGGGAUGUGAUAUUCAUGUGUGUGUGCCUGCUUUGUCCACAGCCUGUGCUGUAUGAAUCACAUUUCUUGCAACUGAAAUGCUAAUGGCAUGGUAAAGUUCAUGUGACAUGACACAAGCUUGAGAUUCAUGAUGUGCAAGUACCAUGAGGGAAAUGUGAAAAGGACUUUGGAAAGAGAAUUAAAUAAAGCCUGCAUUUGCUGACAAUGAAAGCAAGUGUGGAUGUUCAUGUAAUUGUUACUGCAUCAAUCAAUGUUCAUCUUGGUUACUGCAUGCUUUAUAUUACAGCUCAGAACAUGAAGUGUGUGUAACAGCUCUGCUUUGAUUUUUCCCACAUGGGAUCAGUUGAAACAUUGUGAGAGCACUCUUCAGUUUCCUUAUGUACCCACCAGCUUUGUCCACUCGCGUGUUGGCACACAUGUAAUGAUGAUGUGUUUAUGCAAGAUACUUCUGUGCUCAACAACAUGUUGUGUCAAUCCUCACUUGACCCGUCUUGAAACACGGACCAAGGAGUCUGGCAAGUGUGCAAACCAACUUUCUGUAGAGAUUUGUAUGUAAUGAACAUGUUUGUAUCAUUAUUGCACCACCAAUCAAUAUUCAGCUCGUUGCUUAUUUGAAUGUGAGCAUUGUUGCUAGGACCCGAAAGAUGGUGAACUAUGCUUGCAUAACAUGAGUUCAGAGGAAACUCUGAUGGAAGUUUGUAUCGGUACUGACGUGCAAAUCGUUCGUCACAACUGGGUAUAGGGGCGAAAGACUAAUCGAACCAUCUAGUAGCUGGUUCCCUCCGAA